rnacentral:tRNA from 1 species
GCCAGUGUGGCAUAAUGUUUUCAGUGUUGGACUAUGACUCUGGAGACCAGGGUUCAAAUCCCAGCUCAGCCA